rnacentral:lncRNA from 1 species
AUGAAUACUUAUACUAGUAUCAAAUGUUUUAGAAAAACAGCUUUUGCUUACAUAAUAUUAGAGCAUCAUGUUUACAUUGUGAACUUUUAUUUAAGGCCAAAUUGUAGACAAGUAGACAUAGGAAUGGGCCUGAGGAACAAGCCAAGGGCAACACGACCAGAAAUAGGUGAUAAAUUGGUAACACCUGACCCUCAUCCAAUGGUUGUGGAAGCAGUGAAAUGUGUACUACCCAGGAAGACUGCCUUAAACUUACUUAAGGCUUGUGAAGUAACCACAAACAUCCGAAGUCCAGUCUCCAAUACGUAUGAGAGAUUAGAUAGAGUGGUGAAAAUCUGUGUCAAUCUAUGGCCUGUCCUGGCUUCAGCAAAAGAGCCUGUAGAGGAAAGCAGUAGUUCGCUGGAUGAAGAGGAACCUGGGACCAGCACAGAUACAAGGACCUUCAACACAUCAAAGUCUGGUAAACUAUCCCUUACAACACGACUAGCACAUUCAGAGUGCAUGGGAAUGCCAGUGCCACACACAUCUCUGCCACAGAUAUGUGUAUCAGACCAAGAUGCCUUGGUCAAAUCCUCCAAGGGGACAAAAGCCAUUGAGAAUAAGGCUCCAUUUCCCAUGAUCCUAUUGCAGAAGACCAGCACUUUGAUGGACAGCACCAUUAUCUCCCAAUGUAGGUCUGCCCAGGUUCACCUCCCUGAGAUCUCAGUGUCCAGUAUAGAAGGCCUGCUUCAGAGAGUUACAGAGCGAGUGGGAAGGAGAGAGAGAAAGAGGGAUGAGACAUCGGGACUGACCAAUCCUGAUCAUCUUCUCACGGCUGGCGCGCUGCGAAACCUGAGAGAGAAGAGGCUCCAGCAUCGGGGAGACUAUAGCUCAGAGGGAGCGGUAAGAUGUCCAGAGGUCAAGCCAAUCGGUGGACAGAAAGGGACCACUCUAGUAACAGAGAAUGGAAUGCAGAACCCUGGCUCCCUCUGCAAUAAAACCAAACUGCCUGUCAUCCUUAGUAUGACCAAAGGAAGCCUUUGA